rnacentral:rRNA from 1 species
GUUAGGCGGAUAGCUUGGUUUUGGUACUGAUGAAGGACGUGGCAAGCUGCGAUAAGCUUGGGGGAGUUGCAUGCAAACUUUGAUCCCAAGAUCUCCGAAUUACACACAAUUUGUGUGAAGAUACUCCGGGAAUUGAAACAUCUUAGUACCGGAAGGAAAAGAAAAUAAAUAAUGAUUCCCUUAUUAGCAGAGAGCGAAAAGGGAAGAGGGCAAACCGAAUCUAUUCUUGAAAAAGAAUGUGAGAUGUGGUGAAGAUAAGCAACUAAGUUAAUGAAUUGAAAUUGUUUGGAACAACAUACCAUAGAAGGUGAUAGUCCUGUAAAUAAAGUUAAUAUGUUGCUCUUCAAAGAGUAGGGCUCCCCGAAUUGGGGGUCUGAAUAUAGCAGGAUUAACUGCUAACCCUAAAUAUAACCAAAGUCCGAUAGCGUACUAGUACCGCGAGGGAAAGCUGAAAAGUACUCUUAAACGAGGGUUAAAAGACUUGAAAUCUAACAGUUACAGAAUAGUUACUGCUCUAUAUCGCAAGAUAAGGGAGUUGUAACGUGCGUUUCGAAGAACGAGCCAAGGAGUUUUUUCAUGUGGCGAGGCUAACCUUUUGAAUAGGGUAACCAAAGCGAAAGCAAGUCUGAAAGGGCGUGAGUCACGUGGAUUAGACCUGAAGCCGGGUGAUCUAUCCAUGGGCAAGACGAAGUCUCUCGAAAGGGGGAUGGAGGUCUGAACUAGUGUUACGGACAUAUACUUAGAUGACCUGUGAAUAGGGGUGAAAAGCCUAUCUAACUCGGCGAUGGCUGGUUCCUGCUGAAAUAUGCCUACGUAUAGUCUUAUUUAGUUUGUUGACGGGGUAAAGUACGAAUAAAGCUUGCAGGGGCUAUUGCUUUCGGAGCUUUUUUCAACUCAGAAUCUGUCAACUACUUAAAAUGAGAAACAGGGUGUGUAUGUAAGAUACACUUCCGAGACCGGAACAACGGAGACCAAAGUUAAGGUCCCUAAAUUUAUACUAAGUGUAACGAAAGGAGUCUUGAAUCAGAGACACUAGGGAUGUAAGCUUAGAAGCAGCUAUCAUUCAAAGAAAGCGUAACAGCUCACCUAUUGAGAUUCAGGGCCCUGAAAAUGGACGGGGCUAAAGUAUAAUACCGAUACUUUGGCAGCACUCAGAUGAGUGACUGGGUAAGCAGGCGUCUUUUCUGCGUAGAAGCAUCUUCGAGAGAAGGUGUGGAGCUGAAAGGAAUGAGGAUCUUGGCAAUAGUAGGAUGUGAUUUUCCUGAGAACGGAAAAUGUCGAAAGAGCAAGGUUUCCUUGGCAAUAUCAUUUAACCAAGGGUUAGUCAGUACCUUAGCUGUAUCUUAACCGAAUACAGUGAUGGAAAGCAGGUUAAUAUUCCUGCACUGAUUAAAUUUUAUAUAGUACAAUUUGCUUUCGGAUAAGUAGGCACUCGAAAGGGUGUUUUAGUAAAGAAAACUGUGGAAUGUAAUGUGAAGAAGCAGAAGAAUUUACUAAACAAAACUAUUGACUCCAAGAGCCAGUGAAAUGAUUGUACUCUUAAUUUAAUCAACUGUACCCACAACCGACACUGGUGCUCUAGCUGAGAAGGCUAAGACAUGAAAGGUGAAACCAAUUAAGGGAACUCGGCAUAUUAGUCCUGUAGCUUCGGCUUAAGGGAUGUCUAUCUCUGUUUUUUCAGAAAUGUAAUAGCAGAGUUAGAUCUCAGUAACAAAGGCGGCCCGACUGUUUACCAAAAACGUAGCCAGUUGCUAAUCCGAAAGGACUUGUAUAACUGGUGAGACCUGCCCAGUCGCGGUGUUUCAAACUCCUUUUCAAGGGAGCUAAGACUCGUGAAACGGCGGGGGUAACUAUGACCCUCUUAAGGUAGCGUAAUACCUUGUCGUCUGAAUGGCGACUUGCAUGAAUGGUCCAACGAGGUUGCCACUGUCCCUAAUUGGAACCUUCUGAAAAUACUGUGCGGCGAAAAUGCCGCGGACGCCUAGUGGGAAGCGAAGACCUUGUGGAACUUUACUGCAACUUGUUGUUGUGAUCUUAAAGGGAAUGCAUAGAAUAGGUAGGAGCAUCGAGACACUUAUUUCGGUAGGUGUGGAGCAAAAGUGUAAUACUACCCACUUUCUUUAAGGUUUCUUACUCUUUAUGAGGACAGCAGCUGGCGGGCAGUUUGACUGGGGCGGUGCCCUGUCGAAAAUGUAUCGAUAGGACCCAAAGAUAAGCUCAUCCAGCUUGGAAAUCUGGAGAUGAGUGCGAGGGCAAAAGCUUAUCUGACUGUAUUCUGAACAGUAAGGAAUGCAGAGGUGAAAGCCGGGCCUAGAGAACCCACAUGCUUUUUUAAUAGAAGCUGUGUCUGAUAGAAAAGUUACCCCAAGGAUAACAGGCUUGUCGCGCCCGAAAGUUCAUAUUGACGGCGCGGUUUGGUACAUCGCUGUCGGCUCUUCCUAUCCUAGCCGUACAGAAGCGGCUAAGGGUGCCGGAGUUCACGUAUUAAAAGGGAUCGUUAGCUGGGUUAAGAACGUCGCGAGACAGUUUGUAUGAUAUCUACUAGGUGUGUUGUUGUCUGAGUGGAACGAAUCUCUAGUACGAAAGGAACGGGAUUUGGACGCCUCUGGUGAGCAGUUGUCAUUUGGCAGGCUGCAUAGCUACGCGUUGUGUGAAUAAGAGCUGAAUGCAUCUAAGCUUGAAGUCAUCCGCAAAACGAGACAACAAAGGCCGUCAUAGAAGAUGACGUUGAUAGAGUUGCUGUGUAAG